rnacentral:rRNA from 1 species
GACGAACGCUGGCGGCGCGCUUAACACAUGCAAGUCGAACGGAAAGGCCUGCUUUCCCUUGUGGAUUGCGGGUACUCGAGUGGCGAACGGGUGAGUAACACGUGAGUGAUCUGCCCCCAACUUGGGUAUAAGCCUGGGAAACUGGGUCUAAUUCCCGAUAGGACUGCAGGGUGGUGCCUGUGGUGGAAAACGAUUUUCUAGUGGUUGGGGAUGAGCUCGCGGCCUAUCAGCUUGUUGGUGGGGUAAUGGCCUACCAAGGCGGCGACGGGCAGCCGGCCUGGGAGGGUGGACGGCCACAUUGGGACUGAGAUACGGCCCAGACUCCUACGGGAGGCAGCAGUGGGGAAUAUUGCACAAUGGGCGGAAGCCUGAUGCAGCGACGCCGCGUGGGGGAUGACGGCCUUCGGGUUGUAAACUCCUUUCGACCGCGAGGAAGCCACCUGGUUGGAAGGGUGGUGACGGUAGUGGUAGAAGAAGCACCGGCUAACUACGUG